GGCUGGUCCUAUGGUAGUGGGUUAUCAGAACUUAUUAACAUUAGUGUCACUAAAGUUGGUAUACAACCCCCCACUGCUAAAUUUGACUGGCUUUAA
ensembl:misc_RNA Y_RNA Y RNA